rnacentral:rRNA from 1 species
CGCGCACCGAGUCGCCCCCCAUCCCUCUCGAUCAUGUCGAGGAGGAGGCGGGACGGGAGAAUGGCCCCCCGUGCCCCGUGCGCGGCCGGCCCAAACACAGGCCCCGGGAGGCCGACGUCACGAUCCGUGGUGGUUGUAAAAGACUUGCAAUUCGGAUCAUGUGCACGCCGCGCCGCACCCAGGGCCACAGUGACCCCUAAGGGCCGUCCCCGGACGGCGCCCACUCU